GAGAGUGGGUAGUCCGCACGAGCGCACCUCACUUUUAGUUGCCAUCAUUAAGUUGGGCACUCUGAAAGAACUGCCAGUGAUAAGCUGGAGGAAGGUGGGGAUGACGUCAAGUCCUCAUGGCCCUUACGUGUUGGGCUACACACGUGCUACAAUGGCAUCUACAACAGGAAGCAAAACGGCAACGUUAAGCAAAUCCCGAAAAGAUGCCUCAGUUCGGAUUGCACUCUGCAACUCGAGUGCAUGAAGUUGGAAUUACUAGUAAUCGUGGAUCAGCGUGCCACGGUGAAUGCGUUCCCGGGUCUUGUACACACCGCCCGUCACACCAUGGGAGUUGGUUCUACCUUAAGGCAAGGUUUUAAACCCUUGACCACGGUAUAGUCAGCGACUGGGGUGAAGUCGUAACAAGGUAGCCGUAGGGGAACCUGCGGCUGGAUUACCUCCUUUCU
rnacentral:rRNA from 1 species